rnacentral:lncRNA from 1 species
AAUAGUGAAACAAAUUAGCAGUAGGGCCACCAAGAGAGCACAUCCAAGCCUAAUUCAGAGAUGUCUCAGUUUAUCAGUUUUCUGUCAAUCAUUAAAAUAAGAAGGAUGAAACAUACAAUUACAUAUAAGGAGACAGAACUCCUAAUUCUUUCACUCUAGCUGAAGCAUAAGAGUUUUAAUUAUGCUUCCAAAAAGUAAGAUUUUUGUUUU